GCGGGUGUGGCGGAACUGGUAGACGCGCCGGAUUCAAAAUCCGGUGGUAGCAAUACCUUGUGAGUUCGAUUCUCACCACCCGCACCA
rnacentral:tRNA from 1 species